CUAGAGAUAGAAAGUUACUUCGGUACAUCGGUGACAGGUGGUGCAUGGUUGUCGUCAGCUCGUGUCGUGAGAUGUUGGGUUAAGUCCCGCAACGAGCGCAACCCCUAUUGUUAGUUGCCAUCAUUCAGUUGGGCACUCUAGCGAGACUGCCGGUAAUAACCGGAGGAAGUGGGAUGACGUCAAAUCAUCAUGCCCUUAUGACCUGGGCUACACACGUGCUACAAUGGUUGGUACAACGAGUUGCGAGUCGGUGACGGCGAGCUAAUCUCUUAAAGCCAAUCUCAGUUCGGAUUGUAGGCUGCAACUCGCCUACAUGAAGUCGGAAUCGCUAGUAAUCGCGGAUCAGCACGCCGCGGUGAAUACGUUCCCGGGCCUU
rnacentral:rRNA from 1 species